AUGGCUCUCCUCCUCAGGGUCCUAACUCCGAACUUUGGCAUUGCCUCCCCUGCCUUCCCUCCGCAGGUGCUGCAGGGAGCCUCACACCCCCUCCACAGAGCUCAGAGGGACAUGGGGCGCCCAGGGAAACAGCCCUGCCACAGCCCCAGCACCCCCAAGUCUGCAUCCUUCUGGAUCCAUAGUGAGGGGGGAACCCCUCCCCUGAAACGGGACCACCCUCCUCCUUCUCCUAGAUGCUGUGUCCCUUUAUAGUGCUUCACUCACUCCCUCCUCGCAGCCAGUGCUGAACAUCUUCUGUAAUGUAGAAUUACUGAGCAAGUAUGACGAAUGCCCCCUCCCCGGCAGAGCCAUGCCAAAGACUGCAAGCAGGUCAUUAACUGCCAAGGUCAUCUUGUUUGUGAAAAAGAAAGGAAAACAUUACCAUUAAGACUCUAAUACGGUAAAACAGCAAUGACAGCAACAAGGAAACAUAAGCUUAAUGUUUCCUUUAACCCUCACUUAAAAACACAUUUGAAGUCAUCUGAUUUGGCCACAUGACUUUGCAAAUUACCAUUCGUUGAGCAGGUUUGGGCUGGAUUCAGCCCAGUUUCACACUUGUACCACACAUGUACCCCAACAUUUUUUUGCAGGAUCUGUCGAACCUUAUCUCAAAGCAGAAAGCAAUGAAUUAAUCUGACGUUUCAAAACCUGCCAUCAGGAGGGCCACCAAUCCCCUCCUGCCCAUCAGCUUUUAGGGCACAUUACUGAAUCUUUGCAUGACCACAAGACUUGCCUGGGUGCAGCAGCAACUGCCCUGCAAUCCCCAGCAGACUCCCCAGCCUCCCCCCUUUCCUACAGGGAGCAUAUAAAUUUUUCUCCAUCUGAGUCUUAACUACUGUUUGUCUGCAGACUUGUAAAAUACACUAAGAAAUGCCUAAUGAGACACUGAUCUGGCAUCCAAAUGUUCUCCCCCAUGCAUUUCCCCAGCGGGCCGUUGCCUGAGCAGCACACACGUUGAGGCUGUAAUUUGUUUGCCAGCUCUCCAAGGAAGGAAGGAAGGAAAGUGGGCGGGUGGGUGAGAGCUGGAGUCAGUGCAACAUCAGCACAUGGCUGGCUUGCACAUGUUUUCAGUCGCUGACUACUAAGAAAAUAUAAACGUAUACACACACACACACAGAGAACAACGCUGAAGGCCAAAUGAAGACAGGGAGAUUGCUAGGAUAACAUCACUUCCUUCACACCAGGAGCUAAUAAAAUAAGUAAAAACCACA
rnacentral:lncRNA from 1 species